CCUGGACUGGCAGCGUCGGCAUCACCUGAGUCUCUGGGCAAUUGAACUGUGACAUCUUCAUCACAUUGGUCCCAAGGAUUGAUUCAGCAAUGUGCCCAAUUAGUUGCUUGGGAUCUUCUGAAAGACCGUGACGACCACAUACAUGUAUUUAUGUUGUUGCAAAGCAGAGAGACACAGUCCCUGAUGGCAACUUUUCAAGUUGAAAAGUGCGAAGCAGAGAGACACAGUCCCUGAUGGCAAAUCUGGCUUUUCAAGUGAAUUGGUGUUAUUGCACAUCAGUACAGGUCAAAUAAAUGGUCUUCAUUUUUCUUCUGAGACCUGCAGUGAAAUUUCCAAGGGAUUAAUGGGAGAGAGUGUGGUCUGGCUGGGAGGAGCAAUUUCAGUAAAAUGCUUCUUCUCCUCACUGGCACAGCUAGGAUUCUCCCCACUGGCACAGCUGGAAUUGUGGGAGCCUCACUUUUCUGAUCAGCCAAUAGUAGGUUGGGGAAUCCUAAUGUGAAGAAAGGAAAGAGCUAAGAGCAUUGGGAGAAAUGGGCAGUAGCUUAUUUGGUGGUUAUAUUUGACUGCAGAUACUCCUCUUCCACAGUAAGAUGGAUUAAUUUUGUAUGUGUUUAAUAAGAACAGGCAAAAAAAAAAACCCCAACAAAAUGUCCAGUUCUGCAGUUGGGUUCCCUUUGCCUCCCAGUGCCCAUCUAACAUGAUUCUUUCCACUUACUGUGGAGUUUCCUUUGCUUCCAUACUGCAGAAGUGCUACUCUAACAGAUUCAGCGAGAACCCACACAGCUGUCAGGAGUUGAGUGUGCCCUGAGCAGCUUCCAGGUGUUCUGAAUUGGCAAUACCCUAUCCUCAUUAAUGCAUGUGAUUCAAAAGCUAUAGAAAGUGUUAGGAAUUAUUUAUUGCAUGUUUUAUGAAAUUAGACUCUUCCAUCCUAGAAGACGAUCCCAAAACAAAAUCGUAAAACAUGCUAGAAGUUAAGGAAAGAGGUAGGGGGACCAACACUUACUGAGCAAUGAAUCCCAGUGCUUUUCACUGAGCUGGCUGUAACCCCAGCUCGGGCUUAUCUUUUUCCUUCCAAUGAUCCUUUGACUUAUGGAGAAGCUGACAUCCAAGAAAGUUAAAUAAGUGGGCUGAGUGACUGAGAGGCAGGGUUGGGCUUCAACCUGAAGUCUGUCUGGUUAUUGUUUUUGCUGUCUAGUUGUGUAGCUUGCCAAGGUGUAGAGGAACCAACAUGGUCUUUGGAGUGGGCAGACCUGGCCCACCUACUGAUCCCAGUUCUGCUGUGCUCUUCCCAGAUCAUCCAAUUGCACACCCACAUUUUAGAUCUGCCAAUCAUGUCCCUGCCAAGUCUUCUCCAAUGUAUUCAAUGUUUCUUCCUAUGAAGCGGUAUAGUGGAUAUUUCUCAUUGUUGUCUGACAACAUUCAUUCCCUCUUCUGCUUAGAGCACUCUGAAUUUCGUUUUAGGGACUAUCUCCGCCCACACUCUCUGUUUAUGUGGUGUAGGUGAUGCUAACCUCAGCCCCUUUCUCUGGUCACAGUGAUGCAAACAUCCCCCAAGCUAAGCCAACAGAACAUUUUCCUGGAUGACCUCCUUCUGCUGGAGCCGCUAAUCUAGUAGGUUACAAGCUCAGUGUUGUUAGUGGCCAUCUCAUUUUCUUGUGGGAAGGACAUCCCUAAAAUUGAUGCCAAUGAAGGAGACAGCAGAGCAGAGAGAAUGGGAGAGAGAGAUUUCUGACAACAUUGUUCCAGCACCUGGAUCUAACUCCAUCUGAAACUGGUAAUACACUUAAAUUGUUUGUUCACCUGAAUCAUUAAAAUUUGUCUUUGGUUAAGGU